GCCCCGGCCCCCACCGCCCCCGGCCUGUCCGAGCCCCAGCGCAAGGGCCUGUGUUGGUGUACGCUCCUGCGCUGCUGAGGCGUGGGGCAGAGUUAAUUUUCUUCCCAGUAGCUAUGCUUUGGAGUUAUGCUGAACGCAGGGUUGAUAAUAGAGAGAUGUUGUUGUUGUUGUUGCUGGGCAGGACUUACACAGAGCCAAGGCGUUUUCUGCUCUCUGUACUGCUGAGCUGGUGAUGGUGGCAAUGACUACAAUUGCAAGGUAAUUCUGGAAGAAUCACAGGCAUCAGAGGACACAGACCUGCUGGGGUAAUGAGCUCAAGCCUUCUGAAGGUGACUACUGAGUAGACAUUACCAAUGCCAUCAUGCCAGUUGCCAUCAACAGUCAUCUUGACCUCUGAUGCCUCUGGAGAGACCUGAACUCUAUCAAAGGUCCCUGUGUGAGAUCUGCUUAGGUGGCAAGGGAUGACUGCACAGCCCUUACCUCAGUGCUUGUCCAUGUGCUUUAACUCUAAAGGAAAUAAAAUAUGAGUGUCUUGGUUUCCCAAUUCCCACUUUUUGCCUUCAUCUUUGUAAGUAAGUUCAUCACUGUCAGCAUAGAGAGCAAGACAGAUUUGGUAGCCAGGUUCAAAGGACCAAUCCUUCCUUGAAGGAAAAAGGCCAAACU